AGGCUCGUAGCUCAGUGGGAGAGCGCUACCUUGACACGGUAGAGGUCGGCGGUUCGAAACCGCCCGAGCCUACCA
rnacentral:tRNA from 1 species